UGAUGGUGGUGGAGGAGAUUUGUAGUAGUAGGGAGUAGGAGGAUCGGGAGAUGGUGGAGGAGGGCUCUUGUAGUAGUAAGGAGGUGGUGGAGAAGGUGAUGGAGGAGGAGGUGACUUGUAGUAGUAGGGUGGUGGUGGUGAUGGAGAUGGUGGUGGUGGUGACUUGUAAUAGUAAGGAGGUGGCGGUGAAGGAUCCGGUGGUGGAGGUGAUUUGUAGUAGUAGGGAGGUGGUGGUGAUGGGGAUGGUGGUGGAGGUGAUUUGUAGUAGUAUGGUGGUGGUGGUGAGGGGGAUGGUGGAGGAGGUGACUUGUAGUAGUAGGGAGGUGGUGGUGAUGGAUCUGGUGGAGGAGGUGACUUGUAGUAGUAGGGAGGUGGUGGUGAUGGAGAUGGUGGUGGAGGAGACUUGUAGUAGUAGGGUGGUGGUGGUGAGGGGGAUGGAGGAGGAGGAGACUUGUAGUAGUAGGGAGGUGGUGGUGAAGGAUCUGGUGGUGGAGGAGACUUGUAGUAGUAGGGUGGUGGUGGUGAGGGGGAUGGUGGAGGAGGAGACUUGUAGUAGUAGGGAGGAGGUGGUGAUGGAUCUGGUGGAGGAGGUGAUUUGUAGUAAUAGGGUGGUGGUGGUGAAGGGGAAGGUGGUGGUGGGGACUUGUAGUAGUAGGGAGGUGGUGGUGAGGGAGAUGGUGGUGGAGGUGAUUUGUAGUAGUAUGGUGGUGGUGGAGAAGGUGAUGGAGGAGGAGGUGACUUGUAGUAGUAGGGAGGUGGUGGUGAUGGAUCUGGUGGUGGAGGUGAUUUGUAGUAGUAAGGUGGUGGUGGUGAUGGAGAUGGUGGUGGAGGAGACUUGUAGUAGUAGGGUGGUGGAGGUGAUGGGGAGGGUGGAGGAGGUGAUUUGUAGUAGUAAGGAGGAUAAUAAGGAUCCUUGUGUGGAGGAGGUGGAGAUUUAUAGUAGUAUGGAGAAGGAGAUGGUGAUGGUGGAGGGGGGCUCUUGUAGUAGUAAGGAG
rnacentral:lncRNA from 1 species